GACAGGUGCUGCAUGGCUGUCGUCAGCUCGUGUUGUGAAAUGUUGGGUUAAGUCUCGCAACGAGCGCAACCCUUAUCUUUAGUUGCCAGCAUUAAGUUGGGCACUCUAGAGAGACUGCCCGGGUUAACCGGGAGGAAGGUGGGGAUGACGUCAAGUCCUCAUGGCCCUUAUGGCCAGGGCUACACACGUAAUACAAUGGUGCGUACAGAGGGACGCGAUCUGGCAACAGUGAGCAAAUCUCAAAAAGUGCAUCUCAGUCCGGAUCGGAGUCUGCAACUCGACUCCAUGAAGUUGGAAUCGCUAGUA
rnacentral:rRNA from 1 species